GACGAACGCUGGCGGUGUGCUUAACACAUGCAAGUCGAACGGUAAGGCCCUUUCGGGGGUACACGAGUGGCGGACGGGUGAGUAACACGUGAGUAACCUGCCCUCAUCUCUGGGAUAACAGUCGGAAACGGUUGCUAAUACUGGAUAUGAGCUUGCAAGGCAUCUUGUGGGUUGGAAAGAUUUUUUUUGGUUGGGGAUGGACUCGCGGCCUAUCAGCUUGUUGGUGAGGUAGUGGCUCACCAAGGCUUCGACGGGUAGCCGGCCUGAGAGGGCGACCGGCCACAUUGGGACUGAGAUACGGCCCAAACUCCUACGUGAGGCAGCAGUGGGGAAUAUUGCACAAUGGACGGAAGUCUGAUGCAGCAACGCCGCGUGCGGGAUGACGGCCUUCGGGUUGUAAACCGCUUUCAAUUGUGACGAAGCUUUUUUGUGACGGUAGCAGUAGAAGAAGCACCGGCUAACUACGUG
rnacentral:rRNA from 1 species